GGCCUGAUGGUCUAGUAGUAUGAUUCCUUGUUAGGGUACAAGCUGCCGUGGGUAGUCCCAACCUAUAAUCGAGGAGGUCCUGGGUUCAAUUCCCAGUCAGGCCC